GGAUUGUGGCUCAGUGGUAGAGUGCUUGCCCAGCACGCAUGAGGCACUAGGUUCAAUCCCUAGCACCA
rnacentral:tRNA from 1 species